rnacentral:lncRNA from 1 species
GAGACUGUUUAAAAAAAAAAAGAUAGCAGAUGGAAAUUUACAUGUAUACAAAGAAAAAAGUGUGAUAGAACAAAUAAAAAUACAGUUAAAUAAAGUAGACACUUUUCUUAUCUUUAAAAGAGAACCAAAUAACAAAGCAAACACACUAACAGUGUGUUGUGAGGCUUAUAACAUACACAGAAAAGAAAUGACAGUAAUAGCACGAAGUAAUACAACAUUAUUUGCAUGUAUAUAUGUGUGUGUGUGUGUUCAUAUUGAUUUUAUAUUGAUGCUGAUAUUUAUAUGUUGUGGUCAAACAAAUAGUUCUGCCGUCUGGAGCAGCUUGUUAUUGUUCAUGUGAAUAUAAUUUAACUGGUUUUGUUUCUAGAAUUUUUACUUGACAUGUUGAAAGUCAAUGAAUCUAAUGAAAAAUAAAAAGGAAAAAAACCUUGCAAUGAGGAAACAUAAUUGUUUUCAGCAAACCACAUGUGCCACCUCAGAUGUAGGUUUUAUAUGGUAUUGUCUUGAAAGAGCGUAUAAUUGGCAUGAUUUUUAAAAGUAAAUCAUUAGGAGAAAACCUAAAACAACUAAUUAACAUUCAUCAAAUACAUAAGAAGAAAUGUGAUUUUGACCACAUCAAAUGGCCAAUCUUCAUGCGCUGAACAUUCGAAAAACAGAUCCUGAUUCAAAGGGAUUCUUUUCUCCCCCAAACAAGUGCUAACGUUCUGGAAGGGCUAGAUGGGUCCGGAAAGGACACCUGGAAGCAGUUAGGGCAGGACUUCCCAGUAUUCAGUAGGAAGCAAAUGCUAUGCCAGGGACUUGGCUUUCCGAAGGACUCAGGAAACAGGGUCAAAACUAGGUAAAUGGUUUGUAAGGUCAUAACUUGGAAGAUUCACUUUUAAAAUUAUCUUAAAGCCAUUAACAACAAAGUUUGGGUUUUUGACUGGAUUUCAUUCAAUCAAGUAGCCUAGCUGUCCCAGUUGCUGAAUAGACACAAAAUAAGCCAAUGUGCAAUCAUGCAAUUAAGUACAAUAUAGUGAAUCCAGGAAAUGUUCUAUCUUUAAAAUGUUCUAUCUUUUUCAUCAUAAAGCAUUUUCAUUUAUUCGUUAAUUUAUUUGUUCGUUACUGAAGCAGUGAUCGGGUCCAUUAGAUGCUCCACAGAUUAAAUCUUUUAGUAAUUGUUCAGUAGCUACUAUGAACUCCUGACAGAUAGUAUAUUUUAUUAUAUUGCCUUUUUAACUUAAGUUUGUGCCCAAGAGUUGAACAGACCAAAUAUUUUAGGAUUAUAUAUUUAUGAAGCCAUAACGCGAAAGGCGUAGAUAGAUGCUGGGGUGGUGAUUAAUGAGAAACUAGUUGGAAGUGACAAUAUAUUGGUGAAUCAAAAGUAGGCAGGUAAAUAGACUGAAAAUUCAUAUGCUGCUGUAUUAUCUCCACAGGAGUAUGCAAUUAAAAUCAACUAAAUAUCAAUCAUAAAGAGCUCAGUUAAAAUAACCAGAUUUCAGUGAACAUACAGAAUAUGCAAAUCUUUGCAAUAAAGUUAACAUGGCAUACAUUAUCCUGAGCAGACUAAUGCAGGAAAAGAAAACCAAACACUGCAUGUUCUCACUAAUGAGUGGGAACUAAACAUUGAGUACACAAGGACACAAAGACGGGAACGGCGGACAGUGAGGCCUACUUAAGAGUGGAGGGUGGGAGGAUCAAAAAACUACCUAUUGGGUACUACCUGUAUUACCUGGGUGUUGAAGUACUCUGUACACCAAACCCCCAAGACAUGCAAUUUACCUAUAUAAAAAACCUGCACGUGUAUUCCUAAACUUAAACUCAAAGGUUUUUUUAUUUAAAGUGAAUGUGGCGUAAACAUUCACCAAAAUUCCACUUUAGAGCAUAUCAUUUAUAUUAGCCAUUUGAAAAAAAAACUGCUAUUAUUUACUAAACCAAUUAUUUAAAAUAUAUCAAAAUUAGAGCCUGGAAAUAAGCCUUUUAAGACAAAUGCAAUUAAACAGGUUACUAUAUUCAAGUGGUCAACAAUUUCUGUAUGAUUUUUCAUGUACUGCUAACAGCUAUUUUUGACCUUUCCUUAUUAAUGUAAUGUUAAAAAUCUCAGUCAAUACGUUUAUAAAUAGUUAAACAUGUAAAAUUGUACACACUCUCUCAGGUUAAUAAUCUUUGUCCUUCACUUCUUAUUUGAGACAUGAAAUUAGCAAAUUUCAGUCAUCUUCUUGAAGUUUUAAAUUUAGCUUUAAAUUUUAUAUGGUGCAAUUAAAACACCUUCUAACUUUAGAAGAAAGUUCAAUGGAGAAGAGAUCAUCUUCCACUUGCCUCACCUGAAGGAAAGAAAUCAAAUUUCUCCAAAUUUAUAAAACAUUUACAGCUGAAGUCUCUUAUUACUAUUUCUUUUUAUCACAUUAGUCCUAUUGAUUAAAGAAAAAAAAGUGUCACACUGCUAUGUCCUUAAGGAGACAUAUAGGAAGACUAAGAUUUUUUAAAAUGAUGAACUAAAGGUAAACCAAGCAAUAUUUUAAAGCUUAUCAAUGAUACAGAAAUCUUGUUCCUGCAUGGUUGACUAUGCUUCUUUGAAAAUCUUGCCUUUGCACUUUGUGAUAAAGUGAUUUAAAUAUCUGGCUCUCAGCUCAUUUAUCUGAUUCUCUGCUAUAGUGGCUUUGGUGGCUGAAGAUGGCAAGACUCACAUUACAUAGCUACAAAUGGAAGAAACUCUAUUGGCUGCGAGCACCCUAAAUCACAACACUUAUUCUUCAAUCCCAUCCACCAAUUUUAUCAGCAUUUUAGAAAUUUACGUACAAAGUUUUCAUUUCCUUAUUUCAAUCAAGAUUUUGCAGUGUUCUGUUUCUUUGCAAACUAAUUAGAAAGUUUUGCACUUUAAUUUUUGGACAUUAAAUUGGAUAUUUUAGAGAAUUUUCUUUCCAACUGUUUAAAGAGUAGAGAUAUGAAGGUUUUUGUAUUAUUUUAGUAACAAAAUCAUAUAAUGAUUGAAAUAAUCACGAACAUCUAUUUUCAUCCUUUUCUGCACCAAGUGUUUCUUUUGAAAUCCUUCCUCCCUUCCUUCCUUCCCACCUUCUUUCCUCCCUCCCUCCUUUCCUUCCUUCCUUUUUUAAGUCACUUUUUUUUUACUUAUUUUUGAGAUUUGCUUUUCUAGGAGAUAGCUUCCUACCAACCACCCAACAAAAACCCUGCUAGGUAGCUUUCCACUGACAUAGAAUGAGUUUUUGUUAUAGAAAAGGUCAGAAUUUCUAAAACAUGUUGCCUUUUAUUAAUGAGAAAUAAUGCACUACCUAUUUGUACAUUAGACAACUUUUCUAAGAGCUUUACCAUGAGAUAGCAGUAAACCUCCGUGUGGUACAAAAUAUUUUCAUGUUAACUCAGAAUCUCAUUACAAAAUAUUGUAAGUAUUUCCAUUCAAAAUUCUUAGUGAGGUCAGGCAUGGUAGCUCAUGACUAUAAUCCCAGCACUUUGGGAGGCCAAGGCGGUGGAUCACUUGAGAUUGGGAGCUCGAGACCAGCCAGGCCAAUAUGGUGAAACCCUGUCUCUACUAAAAAUACAAAAAUUAGCCGGGCAUGGUGGCGUACGCCUGUAGUCCCAGCUACUCAGGAGGCUGAGGAAGGAGAAUCACUUGAACCUGAGAGGCAGAAGUUGCAGUGAGCCGAGACCACGCCAUUGCACUCCAGCUUGGCCAACAGACGGAGACUCCGUCUCAAAAAAAAAAAAAAAAAAAUUAGUGAAAGAGCCAGUGGCUGACAGCCUAGGCAGAUGGCAUGCCACCUGUCAUGGACUGGAAGGGAACAGGGAGAAAAGGUGCCUCCUGCUGUGUGGGAGUCCCCAUGGGCUCACGGCAUUUGAUGUGUGAUUUGAGACUUCUUGACAUACAGACCAACUGAGGGUGAUGGGCCAGCCUAUGAGUUAAAAAUUAGGGAAUCUUCAGUAUUUCUUAUUUUUAACAUAAGAAUAACAACAAGGCAAAGUACUGCUAUUGCCUUCCUGUCCUAAGGCAGCGGGUGCACGCACACCACGUUGGAAACCUCCCUGGCUUUCCCAGUCAUGCCCUGUGGUUCUAUCCUCCAGUCUCCAACCUACUUUCCGCCUGGGAAGAGGCAAAGCUAUAGCUGCAUUGAAUGAUGUCACAUCAACAUGUGCCAGUGAUACCCUAAAAAGCUCUAGCUAAGUCUGUGUUCUCCCUAGAACACCCUCUACCGACCCAGGGUUAGGGAAAGCUUUGAUGAUGUUCCAUGAACUUUGCUGGCAGGGCUUACCUAGGAGUAAAGGCUCUCUGAGUACAGGGAGGGGCAUGAGGAGUUUCUUCAACCUUUCUCAGUACACAGGACUGGGACUCAGACAGCCCAGGCCUGAGCCUGUGACGAUGAAUAUGACACGCUGAACUCACCUCCCAGCAACACAGGCAUCCCCGACUUCUCAGGACCACGGUCCCAGGUGCCAGAGAUUUGAGUCAGCUCUCCUGUCUGCCCUCUCAUCGCAAUGUCCAGUGUUGUCUUCCAUCUUCACAUCUCAACGCGUUACUUUCUAUUCCCAAUUUGUUU